ACUGUCCCGCUUCUGUACCCUGGCUUGCUUGCAUUGGGUAGACCCCCUGAACAUCCCUUUUGCAGUUUUCAGGCUUAUAAGGAGUGCCUUGUAAUUGUUCUGGGAUGAUCAGGGGAAGAGCUUUAUGUUCUGGUCAGCCACCAAUGGUGUGCUUCAAUAAAGACUUGAUUCGAUUAUAUGUGAGUGGUCUGGAAGUCAGUUUAUGAAAUCCCAGGAUGAAGAUUUAACUAUAGCAUCUGGGGGCUCGCCAUGGAUCCAUUUCUUCCCUCCCUCAUGCCAAAUUUGCCUCCAACUAUGGUCCUUUGGACCUCGGCCCCAGAGUAGAGGGGAGCUCCUGAGAGAUGUUCCUCAGCCUCAUUCCAAGGACAACUCCAGUCCAUCCUAGGACGCUCUGAAAAGCCUCCUGCUGGCCUGUCAGUUCUGGUUAAAAGUUGGUGGCCGCUAUCCAAGAAACCAGAAAAGAACAGUUUAAAAUGGGACCUCAACCUGGGGGACUCUCCCAAGGAGACCAAUGAAGCUGUGUCUUUGGGAAGUUCCUCCAGGGAGAAAUAAGCCCCCUUCAUUGGUCUAUGUUCCCUCAACUCUUUUCAGCUUUCAUGAACAGGACCACCUCAGGAAAAAGAAGUGCCUACCCCAGGUGAAUUUACAUCCUGUUCCUCCUGAACCAGAUUUUUACUAUGGACUCCUUGACCCACUCAGUUUCUAAAAAGGGACUCCAAAUUGCUUGCCCACUGUACAUCGCCCCCUUUAAACUGGAAGUAGCAAGAACGGUCAUCGCCCUUUUCCCUUAUGGCAGUUGGAGGUCCCUAAUAUUAGAGGAAAAAUUAUGGUCAAUAUAUAUGUUCACCAAUAUGUCUAGCUCAGGAAGAUGUACCUGGGAUACUACUCCCAAGAUUACCCUGGGUGAUCUCUCAUAAAGAGACACUUGCUUCCACAACCCAACUUAUAAGUGGGACAACUCCCUGUUAACCAAAAAUUAUGCUUCCCGGGUCCCACUUCGAACUCCACCUGUAUCUCCAAACCAUCAAUAACUCUGAACUAUGUAACCUACUAUUUUGAUGGAGUAAAAAGAAAAAAAACACCUGAACUUAUUAAAAGGCCAGGGUCAACUGAUUUAUCAACAUAGACUGGCUGCCCCCAUUUUAGUUCCCCUCCUGGCUGGUUUGGGAAGUCCCUGAUCUAUCAAAUAGAUAUAGAUUUAGGAAAACUAAAAAGGUCAAUCUUCAACCUAAAGGUUUCACUAGACUCUCUGACAGAAAUAGUCUUAUAAAACAGAUGAGGUCUAGAUGGUCUCCUUCUGAAACUAAAUGGACUUUGUAUGGAUCCAGGAGAAACUUGUUUCUAUGCAAACCAUUCUGGGAUAAUAAAAAACAGUUUGGCGCUUGUGAGAAAUAGGUUAAAGAAAAGAGAUGAAGCACUAGAAACUUCAGGCAUUUGGUUCCAAAACCUAUUCUCAUGGUCCCCUUGUCCACCAUCAUUUCAGCCAUAGUUGGGCCCCUAGUUCUUCUCUUGAUUGGGAUUACUGUAGGACCCUGCCUCUUAAAAACCCUCCUAAACCAUAUACACAAAAAUGUAGGUGAGAUCAGACUUAUGGUCUUGCGAGCCCAGUCUAGUCCCUUAGACACAAAAGGAUAGGGAAAAAAAACUGAGGCCUAAUGAUGCACACAAGAUUGACAUCAAACCUACUAAAACCAUUGGGGAAUGUGAUAGUAGGAGCAAAUGUAACUCCAUUUUGUUUUAUGACUUCAUCCUGUAAAACAACCAUGCCAAGUAGAAGAGUCAUGACUGGGGCAAAAUUUUCUUUUCCUUUUGCUGUAGAAAC